GAUGAACGCUGGCGGCGUGCCUAAUACAUGCCAGUCGAGCGAACAGACGAGGAGCUUGCUCCUCUGACGUUAGCGGCGGAGGGGUGAGUAACACGUGGAUAACCUACCUAUAAGACUGGGAUAACUUCGGGAAACCGGCGCUAAUCCCGGAUAAUCUAUUGAACCGCAUGGUUCAUUAGUGAAAGACGGUUUUGCUGUCACUUAUAGAUGGAUCCGCGCCGCAUUAGCUAGUUGGGAAGGUAACGGCUUACCAAGGCAACGAUGCGUAGACGACCUGAGAGGGUGAUCGGCCACACUGGAACUGAGACACGGACCAGACUCCUACGAGAGGCAGCAGUAGGGUAUCUGCCGCAGUGGGCGAAAGCCUGACGGAACAACGCCGCGUGAAUGAUGAAGGUCUUCGGAUCGUAAAACUCUGUUAUUAGGGAAGAACAAAUGUGUAAGUAACUAUGCACGUCUUGACGGUACCUAAUCAGAAAGCCACGGCUAACUACGUG
rnacentral:rRNA from 1 species